rnacentral:rRNA from 1 species
UACGUAGGGGGCGAGCGUUUGUCCGGAUUUAUUGGGCGUAAAGAGCUCGUAGGCGGUUGCGGAAGUCGGAUGUGAAAUACCGGGCUCAACUCCGGGGCGCCAUUCGAUACUCCGCUGACUCGAGUCCGGUAGGGGAAGGUGGAAUUCCUGGUGUAGCGGUGAAAUGCACAGAUAUCAGGAGGAACACCGGUGGCGAAGGCGGCCUUCUGGGCCGGUACUGGACGCUGAGGAGCGAAAGCUAGGGGAGCGAACAGG